CCAUGUCCCAUCCUGAAGCUGGGUGCUUAAAUAGGCUCCCAGCCUCUCUAACAACUUGUACGCCCUUCAUUUUGCCAGCUUGCCAACUGGAAAUGUGUCCAAGGCUUUCUUAUUUGGAACUAGAGGUUCCCAGAGCUACAUUCCUAUUCAACACAACAAAUAAAAGAAAACUAAAAACAUAACUGUUUUGUAAAUCCCCAAAUAAGAGAGUGAAAAGAACAGCCACAACAUCUACCCGAUAGCAUGACUUUAAGCAACUCAACAUAAUUCAAACAUUUAGCAAACAUCGGUUAACAAUAAACCAAGUACCUUCUGCAAGAGCUGGUUGCAGGACAAAUCCUUUUCUAAAGGGACAAAGAUGAAUGCAACUUAAAGUGACAAGAACACUAAGGGAGCAGAAGCAAGCCAUUUAAGGGUAAAAAUGGAAUUUUCUGCUAUAAAGUAAAGCUCUGCAUAAAAAUAAGACAGAACAGGAAAUCUAGUAAGGGUUUAUUCAUAAGACCCCAUGCUGAGGAUUUCAAGGAGACAGUCACGUUUCUGGGUAACUGACUAUGGGAUUGUCCCUCAUGGGGCCAAGUAACCUGUCAAAGCAACGAGGCUUCCUACUCAACAAGCCCUGUGGCCACCCUGCCAGCUGGAGGCUCUAUCUGAAGCCUGGAAACAGCUGUCAACAUGCCUUGAAUCCAACAGGUCCCGAUGUGACCUCGGUCUUUUACCUCCGCACAAAGUUACGGCUUAUGGCUGUUUGGACAGUCUGGUUUGUCGAUCGUUUGGUCGGAAAGUCUGUUUUUUUCUUUUUUGAGAUGGGGCCUUGCUCUCUCACCGAGGCUGCAAUGCAGUGGCACGAUCUCAGCUCACAGCAACAUCCACCUCCCAGGUUCAAGUGAUUCUCCUGUCUCAGCCUCCUGAGUAGCUGGAACUAUAGUCACACGCCACCAUGCCUGGCUAAUUUUUGCAUUUUCAGUUUCACCAUGUUGGCUAGGCUGGUCUCCAACUCCUGACUUCAGGUGAUCCACCUACCUCGGCCUCCCAAAAUGCUGGGAUUACAGGCGUGAGCCACUGCCCGGCCCAAUGCUGUUUUUUUUUUUUUUUUUUUUUUAAUUACUUGCAUUCAUCCUGUGGUUUCCAUCCCAGCUCAUGGCAUCCUGCCCAGGGUAUCACUAACUCCCUCCUCACUUCCUGCCACAGCCUCUUCCCUCUCCCUUUUCUAAGGUUCUCACACACGGCUGCCAGGUUCCUCACCUGAAGGAGAACCCUGAUCACCUCCUGGGGAUGGGCUCUUCUCGAGCAUGGCUUCCAAGUACCCAGAUUCACAGAGGCUUCCUCCUUGAAGAGUCUACAACAGACCUGAUACCAUAAUUGGGCACACAUCCUUCUGAAAUUCCUUCUAGAAAAUGAUUUAAUCUACUAAGAAAGCCCACAUUUGAAUUCAUUCAUUCCAAAAAGAGUCUCCAUCCACUUCCUAGGUUUUGAGCUCUUUUUAUGAGUCCAUGGAAGCUGCCGUGGUUUUCUCUGAGUCCAUGGCCAUAUUUUCCCUCUGGGUUCUUGUUUCUUUUAAGUCUUAUACCUCUAUUAGUAUUAAAGAUCAUCAGCUGUGCUUGAGUGUGGUUAAAUAUUCACUUUCACUUAGACUUCUGACCUAGACACUAACAGCCAACCUUGCUAGAUUCAUCUAAGUAAAGGGAAUGCAACAGGAAAAAAAGCCAAUAAUUUUUGGUUUCCAGAGUGAAAGAAAAAUACUGGGCUGGACAUCAUGAAUCACACCUGUAAUCCCAACACUUUGGGAGGCCAAGGCGGACAGAUCACUUGAGCCCAGGAGUUUGAGACUAGCUGAACAUGGCUAAACCCCAUCUCUACAAAAAACA
rnacentral:lncRNA from 1 species